UUUGUGUCCUCCAUGAUAAACCCCUACAGGCACUUGCAAGUCUUGUGAUGAAUUUAAACAUUCCCCUCACAGACCUUUUAAUGUUUGUAUGAACACACACACCUACACCCAUGUGGUGAGAGAGAAGGAAGCUGACAGACAUCAGCAGCUGAAUAUUUUCGCAGUGUGCAAUUUGUUAUUCACCACAGGGCUGCCAUUCCCUCCCUUUUGAAGGCUCCCUACUUUCCCCUAGCCAUGUUGCUAAGCAACAGCUUGAGUCAACAAUUGUCAACUGGGCUAGUGAAAUGAAGGAUUGGGGAGAAAAAGGGGGAGAAAAAGGACUCUGAAGGAGAAGGUUCCAACUUGUGAAGAGAAUGAUCCUGAAGCCUCAAGGAGCCAGAAGCGGCUCCAGAUUUGGAUUUUUAAAAAGAAACCAAAAUCAGAAACAGGAAAGCUUAUCCAUCCAAUUUUUCUACAAGCAGAUGCUCUUCUGAGCUCACCUCAAGCUGAAUGGAAAGGAGCUGUGUAAACAUUGUCUCAUCGGAUUACUAUACAACUUUACCAUUUUGUAGUACAGCAAACUUCCAA